UACGUAGGGUCCGAGCGUUGUCCGGAAUUACUGGUCGUAAAGAGCUCGUAGGUGGUUUGUCGCGUUGUUCGUGAAAACUCACAGCUUAACUGUGGGCGUGCGGGCGAUACGGGCAGACUGGAGUACUGCAGGGGAGACUGGAAUUCCUGGUGUAGCGGUGGAAUGCGCAGAUAUCAGGAGGAACACCGGUGGCGAAGGCGGGUCUCUGGGCAGUAACUGACGCUGAGGAGCGAAAGCGUGGGGAGCGAACAGG
rnacentral:rRNA from 1 species